rnacentral:rRNA from 2 species
CAUCCUGGGGCUGUAGUCGGUCCCAAGGGUUGGGCUGUUCGCCCAUUAAAGCGGUACGCGAGCUGGGUUCAGAACGUCGUGAGACAGUUCGGUCCCUAUCCGUCGUGGGCGUAGGAAAUUUGAGAGGAGCUGUCCUUAGUACGAGAGGACCGGGAUGGACGCACCGCUGGUGUACCAGUUGUUCUGCCAAGGGCAUAGCUGGGUAGCUAUGUGCGGAAGGGAUAAGUGCUGAAAGCAUCUAAGCAUGAAGCCCCCCUCAAGAUGAGAUUUCCCAUAGCGUAAGCUAGUAAGAUCCCUGAAAGAUGAUCAGGUUGAUAGGUUCGAGGUGGAAGCAUGGUGACAUGUGGAGCUGACGAAUACUAAUAGAUCGAGGACUUAACCAUAUAA